UACGUAGGGUGCGAGCGUUAAUCGGAAUUACUGGGCGUAAAGCGUGCGCAGGCGGCUUUGCAAGACAGAUGUGAAAUCCCCGGGCUCAACCUGGGAACUGCAUUUGUGACUGCAAGGCUAGAGUACGGCAGAGGGGGAUGGAAUUCCGCGUGUAGCAGUGAAAUGCGUAGAUAUGCGGAGGAACACCAAUGGCGAAGGCAAUCCCCUAGGCCUGUACUGACGCUCAUGCACGAAAGCGUGGGGAGCAAACAGG
rnacentral:rRNA from 1 species